UACACCUGCAAGGCAAAAAGAGAAUUAAAUGUUAAUACCACCUUUUAUGGCUUAUGAAAAAAAUUUUUUUUAUUAUAUGAAAAUCGAUUUUUCUAUGUAGAAAAAUGUUUUUUCUUGGAAUUAACUUUUACAUGAUCUAGUUGUACAUGAGCAAAUAUAAUUGACAUGGUCAAAAGUAGUAUAAAUGAGGAUUAGAUCAUUUUAAUGAGGUAUAUGUACAUUUACAGAGAAAAAUCUUAAAAAUAUGCACAAAAUUUUGCUGUUUUGAGUUAAUAAAGUGAGAAUGGAUGGUAAACUCUUAAAAAUUGAGAUAUAAUUGAAAUGACAGUUUCAAGUAUACAACAUGAUUUAAUAUACGUAUAUAUGGCGAAACUGUCACUGCAAUGGGCCCAAGUAACGUGGUUACAAUUUUUUCCUUGUGAUCACUUUUAAGAUUUACUGUUAGCAAAUUUCAGCUACACGGCACAGUGUUAACUAUAGCUGCCAUCCUGUACGCUACAGCCCCAGGGCUGACUGGCUUUAUAAUUGGAAGUUUGUGCUUUCUGGCCGCUUUCACCUAUUUUGCCCGACCAAUGCCUCUGGCAAUCACCAAUCUGUGAGUUUGUUUUUUUAAAGAUUUCACAGGUAAGUGAGAUUACAAGGUAUCAGUCUUUCUGAUUUAUUUCACUUAGCAUAAUGCCCUCAAUGCCUGUCCAUAUUGUCAUAAAUGGCAAGACUUCCUUUUUUAUGGCAGAAUAUAUGAAUAUACCACAUAUCUGUUCAUCCAUCCAAUUAAGUUGCUUUCAUGAAUGCUGCAGUGAACACGGGGGUGCAGAUAUCUUUGCAAGUUAGUGUUUUCAUUUCCUUUGGAUAAAUAUCCAGAAGUAGAAUUACUGGAUCAUAGGGUAGUUCUAUUUUUAAUUUUUUUUGUAGAAUCUCCAUACUAUUUUCCCUAUUGCUGCACCAAUUUAUAUUCCCAUCAACAGAGCACAAACUCCUUUUCCAGGAGACACCAGCUUCCUGGAGGGAGGUGGAGGGACAGGGCAAAGAUGGCACCCACUGGCCUCCAUCUUUGGGAAGUCUUUAACACGCUGUAGGGGCGGACUGAAGCUAGCUGACUGCUCUUUAGGCCGAAGCUUUCAGACAAGGAAAUAGGCCUCUUUCACUGAAAGACUGGGCACUUUUCAGUCAGCUGCCCCAGCGCUGGGCCCUGGGCAUAGCCAGGUAAGUCUGAGUCCUCGAAGACCCGUUUCUCGGUUCACUAUAGCCUUGUUGAUGUGAGCUCUGUCGCUUUCAGAGCUAGAUGUUUUGCAGGCUUGUCUCUUGAUUCAGGUCUUAAAAGUUAGGGUGCCAAAUGUGGGGUUCAAACAUUUGCUUCUUAGGGAGAAGCUUGGAGUUGUAAGUUCCUGACUGUGGGUUGCUGUACCAGAGAUGGGGUUUAUGGCAGGAUUUUGUCUCAGCCUCUCCCAGCCGUUUGGAUGUGGGUUUUUUCUCGUUUAUCCAAUGUGUAGGAGUUGCUCAGGUAGUUUUUUGGUUUCUUUCAGAGACAGUUGUUCCACGUGCAGUUGUAGAUUUGGUAUGUCUGUGGGAGGUGGUGAGUUCAGGAUCCUCCUAUGUCACCAUCUUGAGUCAGAAUUCAGUAAACUUAUUUCUGAUAUAAUAUACAAUACAAUCAAGCUACCAAUCUGAUUUAUCAGUUAAAUUUGUUUGUCAUUGAAUAUUCCAUUUAUAGCACAUAUUACCAAAACUGGAGAACACAGUUGAUAAUCUAAAUCUAUUCCUAUCAUUUCCAAGUUGUUCACUCAGUCACCAAGCUGUACUGCACACUGCCUGCUGUAGGUGGGUUCCAUAAAAUCCUGAACGAAGCUCAGAAAUGCCAAUGUAUUUACAAUAAGACACUUAUCUAUGCAAGGGACUGAAUAGAGUUGUCUCAUGGUCAGGCACACUGCAUGGGAAACAGUUGCCUGGAAGUGUGGACUAGAUUGAGGGAGUUUUAUUUCUACUGGCAGGUGCAAACAUCUACAGGCUCUAUGCGAAGUGCUCACUGUAAAUUUUCUCAUUGAAUCUUCAUAUCCACUCUGUGAGGUAGGCAAUGUUACCACAAUUUUACUGAUGAGGAAACUAAGGUUUUGGAUUAUUAAAUACCCUCCUCAAGCUCACAUAACCAACUAAACAGCACAGCCUGGCUCUAAAUCCACACUAGUGUCCAGAGCCCACACUAUAUCAUACCCCUCACCUCAAAAUUUCAGGAAUACAGUUAAUGAAAAACUCCUCUCUUUUUAAAUCCAAUUUUCCCAGACCAGUUUGCUCACUUCAGUGACAAGUCAUGUUACCUUAAUGACAUAAAUGAGAAAGAGGCCAUGAUGAAAAAAGGACCCUGAACUAUCCCAGUUAUCCUUAGUUACUAUUAUUUACCAGGACAGAAAAAUAUAAGGCACACAUUAGUUUCAUUCAGAAAAGGUUAAAAUGAAAUGUAAAAGUUUUGACAUUUACCAACAAAACUUUUAUCUUGAACGUUAAGUAAACUCCUAAAGCCCAAGUUGCCUUUUACUUUUCCCUAAUUCUUUUUUUUUUUUUCCUGGACCUGACGACAGGUGCACCUGUGUCUCACAGGCUUCUAGAACUCAGCACCUACCAGAGCCUUGUUUCUGGGCGCCGUGGGCCGCUCCCCAAACCUCCGGGUUCAGAUCUGCUCUGAGGAGUUCAGGGGACAGAACAGCAGCAGAGCUCUGAGGACGGGCCCUGGCAAUCUGUUUUAACAAACCCUCCAGGUGAUGAUGAAACAGUAUCAGCCUGUUUUCCUCAUCUUUUGCCAGAUUUCCAGGUCGUUCAACACAUCAAAUCAGAAGUACCCUGGAUUUAACACCCCCAUGUUAAAGUAACACAUAGCAUGCUUUCUCUUAUAUGAACUGAUGGGCGCUGUGUUUCUCACAUGCUGCAGAGAGAAUUCUGAACCAUUGGUUCUGCUACUGAAAAUGAGAUUGAACCUAGAAAACAAAGAGGGGCUUGCACUUUCUCAACCCAAAGAUUUUGCCAGAUGCUCUAUUUUGAAUUAACAGGAAUUAGUAAGAAAAUCUUACAAACCUAUGUGCACUUGUUUUAUAUAUUCAAUCAACGAGUCCUUGUUGUUGUUCCAGAAGCUUGGAAGCAUCUCCUUGCGAGGAUAUUUACAGCAUGACAGCUCCAAUGUAAUUUCAAAACACUGGGCCCAGAUGUAGUUGUAAUCUUGCAUUCCACCUAAACACAAGCAUAUUUCAUUUUUGUUAAGGUCUAAAACUGGAGUGAAGCCAAGUAUCGCGUACCUUGGGGACAGGUGAAUCAGACAGUUGCAGUGAAAGUACAUGUAAACAGGAAAAGAUGAAUUUGACAUAUUAGCAUGUACAGUUAGGGCUUGACAUUUUAUUAUCCAGGCAUGACCAAGCAGUCCUAGAUAUUCCCAUAUGGGCAGCUGAAUCAGAGCUGACUGACAUUCAGGUCUGCAUCAAAAUGAAGUGAGAAGCAGGGGAAGGGUCCUUUUUUUUCCUACAAUCAUACAUUAAAAAAAAGGAUUCUUCGAAUUACAUUUCUUUCCGAAAUUAAAUCUUAAACGGAUAUAAACUAGAGUGAGAUGUCAUUCAUAAACACACUUAUUCUGUAAAGCUCAGUAUACUAAUUUGGAGGAAUAAUAGCAGCUAAUGUUUACUGAGAGUUCGCUCUUAGUGCUGUUUGAGCAGCUUUGUUAUCAACUCAUUUAAUCCUCAUGACGAUUAUCACCCAUAUUUUACAGAGGAGGAAACUUAAUCAGAAACAGUAGGUAACACACCCAGGAUUCUUGCCAGUGAAUGGCAGAGACCGACGCGCGGGCCAUCUUCCUCCAGCCCCGGGGCUCGCACCCGCUGCUCUGCACUGCGUCGAGGGUAAGAGGAGGAGGCACUGCUGACCCUUGGGAGGGGAGAGCCACGCCUCUGCUGCUCCUGAGGCUACCCCUGCCCGUGCUUGCGUCCCAGCUCUUACCUCUUGACACCCUAUUGUCAAAGGGUUAUAAUCUUACUUCCUAAGAUGUAAAACUUUUCAUAGUUUAAAAGCUCUGACUUCAGGUGUAUCUUACAGUGGAUGAGUGAAAGACAUCCUGGUGUUAUUAGGCUGGAAAUUUCUUUCUUGCUUGCUGGGACUUGUACUUUACAAUCAGCAGCAUCUUGAAUUCGAUGAAAUCUAGUAACUUUGAAGGAAGUAGUCUCUGCCAGAUUUUAAUUAGCUACACUUGAUAUCUGCCCAGUACAAUAUGUAUUCUCAAUUCCAUCAGGGUAUUUGGGAAGUAAAGAAGUAAAAAAGAUUUUUAUGCUCAGAAAAUGGUAAAAAUAUUAUGUAAAUAUCGAGUAACAUCCAGCCAGGAAGAAUUUCUCUGUCCUUUCUUUUCCUUUACUUAGAAAUUUUGUAUUUGUCUUGGACCUCGGUUUCACCAAGAAGUAGAAGAUGGAAAAAAAGAAGAGAGAAACAAAAUAAAACGAAAGUCCUUGGCUGGAUGGCUGUGUCUCAGUUCCUGGCUCCCAGGUAAAUGCUGAACAAGCGUCCGAACUAAGGAGGCCUUGGCAGUGGGAACAUGUUGGAGCACCUCUCCAACGACCAGUACCCCCACUGCUCUGUGAUACUAGCUGACAGAGACACGAGUGAGAGGACUGUCCUGUGCCUGGCCAACUUCUGCCUACUGCAGGGUCAACACAAGCCAGCGGGGCGAAGUUACAAUGAGAACAGUAGAACGGAGAAGCUCACCUCUGAGUGGAUACCAGAAGUAUCCAUUUAUAAUUCCACUCUGAGACUCUAAUUUAGCUUUACAUGGAUUUCUUUCCUUCAUGGUGGGAUUUCUUGAAGCGUAGGUAUGUGCAAGAUAUUGAAAAACAUCGUCAUCAGGGGUUAAGCUCCGGGAGUAUAAUGUCCCAGUCGCUGUACAUGAAAGACAAACCAAGACCUUUUAGUUGAUGUGAGAGUCAGAGGAAGCACACACCGUAUUAGCAAAUACAUCACCACAUCCCACACACAGGCUCCAGUUUCCUAGAGAGAAGUCCUCUACCCACUUCCACGAAUGCUCCCUCUACUCUCCUUCCUAGUGUUUAACGGACAUAGACAAGGUGAUAGCACACAAAACCAUAUUCAUGUCCAAACGCCGCCUCAGUCAGCUUAAAAGUUAGUUACUUUUGCUGAUUUCCUUAGGUACUGGAGGGGUUAAAGGAAGCUGCUCAAAUAUUUUAAGUCCUUGGUACGUACCUCAACCCACAGCUUUAAGAGUAAUCAGCAAUUAUUACUCACAUGAUUCACUUUAUUUUCUUUUAGCCAUGUUGCCUCUUGUGGGAUAAUCUAAAUCCCAGUUGUACUAUUUCACUGAUGAAUGUCAAGUAAUCCCACUGUUGGUUGUCAGUUUAGCCACCUUGCCAUCCACCAUUUAUAAACUGUAGGAAGGACAGCUAGGGUCGAGGGAAGGGGCUGCUUCUACCCCUGCCAGAGAAGUUAAGUGGGGAGAGGAAGAGUUUAUUCCCCUUCAGAGGCAGAGAGUUUGUAGCUUCACUCUGGACUUAGAAGGCCAGAGCUGGGCCCAUGUUCACUUACCUGGAACACCAUUAUCAAACGGGUAACUGGCCACCAGGGCACCACCGUGAAGGUUUGCAGAGAGGACAAACGUCUCUGUAUUCAGCCACUUCAUGACCGCCACAGUUUCAGG